GGUAAUGGAUGGGGAUGCGUCUGAUUAGCUUGUUGGCGGGGUAACGGCCCACCAAGGCAACGAUCAGUAGGGGUUCUGAGAGGAAGGUCCCCCACAUUGGAACUGAGACACGGUCCAAACUCCUACGGGAGGCAGCAGUGAGGAAUAUUGGUCAAUGGACGGAAGUCUGAACCAGCCAAGUAGCGUGCAGGAUGACGGCCCUAUGGGUUGUAAACUGCUUUUGUAUGGGGAUAAAGUUAGGGACGUGUCCCUAUUUGCAGGUACCAUACGAAUAAGGACCGGCUAAUUCCGUGCCAGCAGCCGCGGUAAUACGGAAGGUCCAGGCGUUAUCCGGAUUUAUUGGGUUUAAAGGGAGCGUAGGCUGGAGAUUAAGUGUGUUGUGAAAUGUAGACGCUCAACGUCUGAAUUGCAGCGCAUACUGGUUUCCUUGAGUACGCACAACGUUGGCGGAAUUCGUCGUGUAGCGGUGAAAUGCUUAGAUAUGACGAAGAACUCCGAUUGCGAAGGCAGCUGACGGGAGCGCAACUGACGCUUAAGCUCGAAGGUGCGGGUAUCAAACAGGAUUAGAUACCCUGGUAGUCCGCACAGUAAACGAUGGAUGCCCGCUGUUGGUACCUGGUAUCAGCGGCUAAGCGAAAGCAUUAAGCAUCCCACCUGGGGAGUACGCCGGCAACGGUGAAACUCAAAGGAAUUGACGGG
rnacentral:rRNA from 1 species